rnacentral:rRNA from 1 species
GCUAACGUCGGGCCAGCAGCCGCGGUAAGACGAAGGAUGCAAGCGUUAUCCGGAUUUAUUGGGUUUAAAGGGUGCGUAGGCGGCUUAUUAAGUCAGAGGUGAAAGCCUGGAGCUUAACUCCAGAACUGCCUUUGAUACUGAUGAGCUUGAAUAUAGUUGAGGUAGGCGGAAUGUGUCAUGUAGCGGUGAAAUGCUUAGAUAUGACACAGAACACCGAUUGCGAAGGCAGCUUGCUAAACUAUAAUUGACGCUGAGGCACUAAAGCGUGGGGAUCAAACAGGAUUAGAUACCCGAGUAGUC